CAUGCUCUUCUUCAAAUAAAAAUGAUAAUACAUAUUUACUUAAAAUGUUUUGGUUAACAACAAUAUUAAUUAUGAGAUGCAUUUGGACAUAAGGGAAACAGGAGUUAUGUUGGAGCUGAGGGGCUAAUGUGUAUAUCAGUUUUAUGGCUAUUGAUGUAUAGUUGAUGGCAGUUAAUCAUAGCUAACAACCAUUUAUUGAAAAAUUACUAUGUUCCAUUAUGAUACUAAGCCACAUGUACUAACUUGUUUAAUCUUCAUAAUGGCUCCAAUAGUAGGUUUCAUGGUUUUCCCCAUUUUAUAGUCAUGGAAAGAUUGAGAAACUUUCCCUAGUGACACAGCUAGUAAAUGACAGAGCCAAAACUUGAGCCCAGCUACUCUUAUUCCCAAGCUGUGCCAUUUACAGUUCCACCAUACAGACUCCUCCUGGACCAUCCUGCCUCUAGAUGAUCUACUGGAAGUAGCAAAGACUUCAACAGAAAGUAUGGUGACCAGCAGCAUCCAGCCUAUGUGUUUCCUCCUUCAGGAAGAGAGAAUACCCCUCUCAGUGUUUCUCCCAGAGAGCAAAGGAGAUUCUCUCCCAAAAGCCCAGCUCAGAUACUCUCCAGCCUCCUUUGUAGCACUUGAAUCUCAUGCUUAUUCCCAAUCCAAUUACUAUGGCUUUGCUGUGGACUUCGCUGAUUGACUUAAGCUAAUUAAGAAUCACCCUUGGAGCUGAGGAUGAAAUCAUCUCACCCAAUCUGGAAACUGUACGUGGGUGGAAGGGUUGUUGUCUAGAAAUCCUGUUGAUCACUAGGAAAGGAAAUAUAUACGGAGUGACAACCACAGAUCACAUGAGGACUUUGUCAAAUCACAGCUGGAGUCCUGCAAAUCUCCUAAUUGAGCUCCUUGCCACUGGUUUUGUCCCUUCUGUUGCAUGUUUGAUACUGCUCCUGAUGACAACAAAACGAAACUUAAGCAGCUCACAUGGCAUACAAACUCCAUUUAAACUACUUCCUAGCUACCUUCCGGUUCCCUUUUUAUCCCUUCCCCACAAUGAACUAUGUGAAGCUCCCUAAACACUUCCAAUCUUCUCUACCUGGAUAAUUGUUUACGAUUUUUCAAGAGUCAGCAUCAACUUUUCCCUCUGGAGGCCUCUCAUGACCUCACCACCUUGGGUUAGUUUCCCCUACUCUGUGCUUUCAUAGCAAUCUGAGUUUAUGCUGUAUCACAGAAACAUCGAUUUGAUAAUUUUUCUUUCCCUUCAAGUAUGCAAGCUCCCUAAAGGAAAGGCCCACAGUCUUGUAUCCUUAGUACCUGGGACUCCACAUGCAUGGUGUAAGCAUACAGUCACUAAAGGUGUGUUUACAGAAUGAUUCUAUUUGCCAUUAAACUCUGCUAAGUUGUGUGGGCACAAUGAGAGCAGAAAACAAAUGUAAACCUUGGUUGAUACUGUCAUAGAGCCUGUUCACUAAAAGAAUAAAUGAAGACAUGUAAGACAGAAUGUGAACCAUCUUCCAGCAUCCCAAGACGUAAAUUAAGAAGAGCAUGAAACCAAUCUUUGUUCACGAGACUUAUAAAAUAAGCAGCUUUCCUGUGCUUACCACUUAAAAAAAAAAGGUAAUUAUAUUUUUACUAUAUUCUGCCCAGUUUUUCUUCCUUUAUCCUCCAAGAAAAGUGGAGGGUAAGAUAUAGCGGGUUGGUAGGGGGUGGGAAAUAUGGGAUAGGGUUGGUUGGUCUUCACCCGGAGAUGUCUGUGGAAAUAUGUGGAUACCUGCAUACAUGGCAACUAUGGUAAUUCUUUGUGAACAUCCAGUUGCCAUCCCUUUAAGCAGGUUGAGUGUUUAACAGUGGAUAACUCUUCCCUAGAGUACUAGUCAAUUUUCUUGUGUGAGAAUCAGAAAGCCUAUUUAAUACCAGGUACUCAUUCCAAGGCUGAAAAGAAAAAAGAAUAUUAUAUUAAGUGGAAAUGUAGUAAAUUUACUACUGAUCUAAAUCUUGCCUUGCUAUUCUGCCAGUGUUUUAUUUCAAUUCACUGCCAGAUAAAGUUGCAACUAAUUUUUAAACUAAUAUUUAACGUUGGAGAGAUUUAGGGAUAUAAUUUUUACUAGUAUCAAUGAUACAUUAACCAAAUUAAUUAAAUACUAGCUUAUACUGAAAAAAAAUAAAUGAACAAAGGAUUUUUUAAUGCAGUGGUCUCAAUUUAUUGUUUUUUUUUUCCUUUGUUGCUCAGUUGCCAGUUCUCAGAAUUCAAUCUGCACUAGGUACCCCAGUCAUUAGUAUGAAUUAGCAACACUCCACUGUAAUUCACUGUAAUUCACCAGAGAUGGAGUUUUGAUAAAUGGUAAAAGGGUUUUAAGAGAGAUCAGUGUUGUGAAGCCCAGUUACAGGGAGACCAGGUCUCUUUGGUAACUAGGUUUUUCUUUGGUUUCCCCAUCUUGCAUUCCCUAUCAUCUUAUAAAAGAAAAAAGAUAACAUAAAUGAAAUCCUUAAUAAAAAUCUGAAUCUGAACCUAAGUUUUAAUAAACUUAACAUUAAUAAAGAGUUUGGGUGAUUAGAAUAAGGACUUCUAAUCAAUCCAGACAGAUAAGAUCACAGUCAUAAUUGCAUUGGCUGUUAUAAUUUCCUUUUCAUUUACUUGUACCAAAUGGAAAAUAAAGUCUUGAGAUGUCUACAAAUGGAAAUGAAAAUAAUGGUUUUCAGUGAUAAUUUGAUAGGAAGUAAUUGGCCACCUGAAGGGAAAAACCCUCACCAUGGAAAUAAUUACAAAUAAUUGGUUACUGUAAGAUUGGACUAUAUUUGAUGCACUCAGUACAAUAAAUACUCUUAACUAAAGAUGUCA